rnacentral:rRNA from 1 species
GAUGAACGCUAGCUACAGGCUUAACACAUGCAAGUCGAGGGGCAGCGGGAUUGAAGCUUGCUUCAAUUGCCGGCGACCGGCGCACGGGUGAGUAGCGCGUAUCCAACCUUCCGUACACUCAGGGAUAGCCUUUCGAAAGAAAGAUUAAUACCUGAUGGUAUCUUAAGCACACAUGUAAUUAAGAUUAAAGAUUUAUCGGUGUACGAUGGGAUGCGUUCCAUUAGGUAGUAGGCGGGGUAACGGCCCACCUAGCCAACGAUGGAUAGGGGUUCUGAGAGGAAGGUCCCCCACAUUGGAACUGAGACACGGUCC